ensembl:lncRNA
GAAAAAUGUAACAUUGGUUUGAAAUUUGUAGCUGAUGUGGUCAAAGAGUAAUUGAAACGUGAAUCUUGUUAUCGUGCACUUUGUUGACAGUCUCUAACUGGUUCCAAUAACAGCUGAGUACAACUUUUGCAGCAGCUGAGUACAACUUUUUUGGAAAAAUAAAACAAUAUUGUAUACCGUUUUUCCUUCAUAAAGAAUCUAACCUGAGGUCUGUAGUUUGGAUCGUUCACAAGCUAUUGUGCUUUGAAGAUACGAGUGUCCAAUAUCAAACAUCAAACUAACUUCACUGCCUCUUUGUAGACCAGCAUGCUGCAAUAGGUUGCACUUGUCCAGUAACACAACUUACAGUAGACUGCCAGGGUGCCAGGGAAAGAUAACUCAACAUACAGAUGAAAAUUAAAAUGGACAACAUACUUUUUCCAUUUCCCUGUCUCAUUGUACUUUUGGGUCUGGUGUUGACUUCUAUGACUACAGCCCAAAACAACAUAACUACCACAAUCAGUCCCACUAAACUCAUCAAUCACACCGGAAACCAGGUAAACUCAACCAUCAACCCAGUUGAUACAGCACAAAGCAAUGAUACCACCACAACUCUGCCAACAAAUUCAGGCAGUCCUAACACCACCACAGAAAAGGAUGAUGACAAAAGCACCAACAUCUCAACAACCACAUCCCAGCAGUUGACACAGAAUGGCAAUACUUCACAUCCCUCAGGAGGAAUCAGGUCCACAACUCCUGCUGGAAGCACCAAGGACAAAGAAUUGGGUCAUACCAAAACAACAACAACGACAACUGUGCCAACAUUAGUUCCUACCACAAGUGCCCAUCGAAAUUCCACAAAAUCCAAGAUCUGGCUAAUCAUCUUGAUUAUCAUCAUUGCUGUGGUUCUUGUAAUAGUAUUUGUCCAAAUACGCAAGAAGUUGAAGAGGAAAUCGAUGGAUCUGCCAAGCAGACAGGAGGAUGUCCCUCUGAGUACUCACGAUCAUGACGUCGCGUUUGACAGCUCUCCGGCACCGAAGGAAAUGCAGACCUUUACGGCUGUGGACCUCGACAGCACUGAAGCCCUGGUUGAGGAUUCACCUGGAACAAAGGAGGAUGGUGGGAACAGCUCCGACCUCCCCCCGCCGCCAGGCUCUGUGGACAAACCCCAUGACGUGGCCCCGACUAAACUGGCCCCUGAACACGGGGCCCUGGGGGUCCCAGAAGGGGAGACUGAUGACGAACUCGCCGUCUCCAAUAAGACCUCGGUGGAGUCAGUGGCGGUCAACGAUGACAACAACAACAACAACAACAACAUCAGGAUGCCAGUGACAACGAGAGACUUGAAUCAUCUCUCAGGAUGGGCUGUGACCAGCCAUUUCUCAGAGGCUUAAACCUCUCCACGUCCACAGCCUCAACAGAACCACGAUUGAAGAAAAAACAUGAAGUCAAAGGUCAAUACAUCGGAAAUAAAUGGAAAAACUAGCUAGCUGAUUAAAUUCAUGUUUGCUUAUGGAAAUAAUCAAUUUAUUAUUAUUAUAUUAUAACAUUUUCACAUUUCAGGAUAAACCUUUCAAUAUGUUAACUUGCAAAAAUGCUGUUUAUUUUCUGGUACUUUUUCAAUACUGUAUUUUUCCCCCCAAUAAACCUACAGGAUGGACUUUAUUUAUAUUGAAUAAUUUAAAAAAGUCAUUGCAUAUACCUCAGUCAUCAGGUAUAAGAGUAUUUUGUGUAUAGCUAGAUGUAUGUAUAGUGUAUUGGUUGAAGAGUGGCUUUGUCAGGAUGGGUUUAUGUUGUUAUUCUAAGGGUAUAUGCUGGUUAAGAUGUGUUUGUGUGAGCAGGAUCAAUUCCAAAAUCAAUUUAAAAACAAUUUUUAAAGCUUUAUGAGGAUUUUUUCCAUUUGCCCUCAAGGUAAUUAGAAAAGGUGAUGUUUUGUAAAAAAUAAAAAAUAAAUGCAUAUUUUUUUACUGUCUAACAGUAAAGUCUCCAGAGGAGUUGCAAAUGUAGUAAAUGUGUCACAAGAUGUGUGAUAUUAGGUAAUGUACAUCCUUUUGUUUGUGAACAUUAUGUCAAUAUUUUAAAACUUCCCCUUUUGUGAUCUUCGUUGUGUAGGUAAAUUGACCCUAUGGAUAGAAGUUAAUAUGCAGUAGCCUAAGGGGAUCCUGAUUCUACAUAAUAUACUGAAUAUUUCUCUAGUCCUAUGCUCAGCCCGGCUCCACUCAUUGUGUAAACUAAAUGCUAUUUCUAGAACAACAAUAUCUUGUGUUGUUGAAAACAUUGUCAAAUAAAUCUGUUAAAAACAUGUGCGAUA